rnacentral:rRNA from 1 species
CUGGCUCAGAGCGAACGCUGGCGGCAGGCUUAACACAUGCAAGUCGAGCGGGCGUAGCAAUACGUCAGCGGCAGACGGGUGAGUAACGCGUGGGAACGUACCUUUUGGUUCGGAACAACACAGGGAAACUUGUGCUAAUACCGGAUAAGCCCUUACGGGGAAAGAUUUAUCGCCGAAAGAUCGGCCCGCGUCUGAUUAGCUAGUUGGUGAGGUAAUGGCUCACCAAGGCGACGAUCAGUAGCUGGUCUGAGAGGAUGAUCAGCCACAUUGGGACUGAGACACGGCCCAAACUCCUACGGGAGGCAGCAGUGGGGAAUAUUGGACAAUGGGGGCAACCCUGAUCCAGCCAUGCCGCGUGAGUGAUGAAGGCCCUAGGGUUGUAAAGCUCUUUUGUGCGGGAAGAUAAU